rnacentral:rRNA from 1 species
UACAGAGGCCUCAAGCGUUGUUCGGAAUCACUGGGCGUAAAGGGUGCGUAGGCGGGCGCGGAAGCAUCACGGGGUGAAAUCCUCCAGCUUAACUGGAGAACUGCCUCGGAUACUGGAAGUCUCGAGGAGGGUAGGGGCAUGCGGAACUGUGGGUGGAGCGGUGAAAUGCGUUGAUAUCCAUAGGAACUCCGGUGGCGAAGGCGGCAUGCUGGACCCUUUCUGACGCUGAGGCGCGAAAGCCAGGGGAGCAAACGGG